UACGUAGGGGGCUAGCGUUGCUCGGAAUCACUGGGCGUAAAGGGUGCGUAGGCGGGUCUUUAAGUCAGGGGUGAAAUCCUGGAGCUCAACUCCAGAACUGCCUUUGAUACUGAGGAUCUUGAGUUCGGGAGAGGUGAGUGGAACUGCGAGUGUAGAGGUGAAAUUCGUAGAUAUUCGCAAGAACACCAGUGGCGAAGGCGGCUCACUG
rnacentral:rRNA from 1 species